CGGGGUGUGGCGCAGCCCGGUAGCGCGCCUGCUUUGGGAGCAGGAGGUCACGUGUUCGAGUCACGUCACCCCGA
rnacentral:tRNA from 1 species